AGAGUUUGAUCAUGGCUCAGAACGAACGCUGGCGGCGUGCCUAACACAUGCAAGUCGAGCGUGAAAGUUCCUUCGGGAAUGAGUAAAGCGGCAGACGGGUGAGUAAUACAUAGGUAAUCUACCUUUGAGCUUGGGAUAACCCCGCGAAAGUGGGGCUAAUACCGGAUAAGACCACGUGGCCUAAGUUACGUGGUAGAAGGUGGCUUGUAUUUAUACUGGCUAUCACUUGAGGAUGAGCCUAUGGCCUAUCAGCUUGUUGGCGGGGUAAGAGCCCACCAAGGCUAUGACGGGUAGUUGGUCUGAGAGGACGACCAACCACACUGGGACUGAGACACGGCCCAGACUCCUACGGGGAGGCAGCCAGUGGGGGAAUAUUGGGCCAAUGGGCGAAAAGCCCUGACCCCAGCGGACGCCGGCGUGGGGUGAUGAAGGGCCUUUCGGGGUUGUAAAAGCCCCUGUUCAUGCGGAAAAGAACCAGUCUUCACGGGUUAAUACCCCGAGGGGAUUUGAACGGUACCGCCAGGGAGGAAGCACCGGGCUAAAUUCCGUGCCCAGCAGCCGGCGGUAAUACGGAGGGGUGCAAGCGUUGUUUCGGAAUUAUUGGGGCGUAAAGGGGCGCGUAGGGCGGUAAUGAAAGUNCAGAUGUGAAAUACUUCGGCUCAACUGAAGAACUGCAUCUGAAACUUCAUAACUAGAGUACGGAAGAGGGAAAUGGAAUUCCCGGUGUAGAGGUGAAAUUCGUAGAUAUCGGGAGGAACACCAGUGGCGAAGGCGAUUUCCUGGUCUGGUACUGACGCUGAGGCGCGAAAGUGUGGGGAGCAAACAGGAUUAGAUACCCUGGUAGUCCACACUGUAAACGGUGAACACUAGGUGUGGGAAGGUGUAAUACCUUCUGUGCCGCAGCUAACGCGAUAAGUGUUCCGCCUGGGAAGUACGGCCGCAAGGUUGAAACUCAAAGGAAUUGACGGGGGCCCGCACAAGCGGUGGAGCAGGUGGUUUAAUUCGACGCAACGCGAAAAACCUUACCUGGGUUUGACAUGGCAGGAAUCCGGAUGAAAGUCUGGAAUGCCCCGUAAGGGGAAUCUGCACACCAGGUGCUGCAUGGCUGUCGUCAGCUCCUGCCCUGAAGGUGUUUGGAGUUAAGUCCCGCAACGAGCGCAACCCUCAUCUUUAGUUGCCAUCAUUAAGUUGGGCACCCUAAAGAAACUGCCGCAGUUAAUGCGGAGGAAGGUGGGGAUGACGUCAAGUCCUCAUGGCCCUUAUAUCCAGGGCUACACACGUGCUACAAUGGGUGGGAACAAAGGGUCGCCAAACCGUAAGGUGGAGCCAAUCCCAGAAAACCAUCCUUAGUUCGGAUUGGAGUCUGCAACCCGACUCCAUGAAGUUGGAAUCGCUAGUAAUCGCGGAUCAGAACGCCGCGGUGAAUACGUUCCCGGGCCUGUACACACUGCCCGUC
rnacentral:rRNA from 1 species